UGCCGCAGUUGUCAUCGUUGGCCAACCAUUUCCAGACAGCGACACCCAUCCAACCUACAACGAACCGGGAUAAAGAACGCAGAAAGGGAACGUUUCAGUUACAUCGCACAUUAAACACUGUGGCUUCUCUUCCCGGGACCGAAUGACGGGAAAGCGAACUUCCACUCUCAGCACCAAAAAUUCUCUUCUAGCUGCAGCGUACUUCACACUCUAGCGAGCGAAUUUUCCAAAUGACAGUUUUCCAUUGCCCCCAGCGCACAACAACACAAACGCUUUCCCAUCACAUGCUGCCGGGAUGCGCGUGACCCUUCCGGUUGAUUUUCUUCACGCACGUCGUACCACAAAACGUAACAGACAGUGAGCGAAAGAAAAAAUGGAUACAAUGUAACUUACUUUUAA